UGCCGUCCGCGGACUUCAAAUCCGCUUUCUCGAUGCCUGCCGUGGGCUUCGAAUCCGC
rnacentral:tRNA from 15 species